rnacentral:rRNA from 1 species
GACGAACGCUGGCGGCGUGCCUAAUACAUGCAAGUAGAACGCUGAAGAGAGGAGCUUGCUCUUCUUGGAUGAGUUGCGAACGGGUGAGUAACGCGUAGGUAACCUGCCUUGUAGCGGGGGAUAACUAUUGGAAACGAUAGCUAAUACCGCAUAACAAUGGAUGACCCAUGUCAUUUAUUUGAAAGGGGCAAAUGCUCCACUACAAGAUGGACCUGCGUUGUAUUAGCUAGUAGGUGAGGUAACGGCUCACCUAGGCGACGAUACAUAGCCGACCUGAGAGGGUGAUCGGCCACACUGGGACUGAGACACGGCCCAGACUCCUCCGGGAGGCAGCAGUAGGGAAUCUUCGGCAAUGGGGGCAACCCUGACCGAGCAACGCCGCGUGAGUGAAGAAGGUUUUCGGAUCGUAAAGCUCUGUUGUAAGUCAAGAACGAGUGUGAGAGUGGAAAGUUCACACUGUGACGGUAGCUUACCAGAAAGGGACGGCUAACUACGUG